GAGUGAUAUAAGGUUCAGAUGGUUGAAUCACAGGUGGUUGGGUUUCAGAGGGUGUGGUGGUUGUUUGUGGUGGAAGUGAGGUUUGAUUUUCAGAGGAGAUGGUGGUUGUUUGUUGUGGAAGAGAAGUUCGGAGGGGAGAGGUUACUUCAGUUUGUGUUUGAGUUUGUGGAGCGAAAUUUUUAGCAUAAAUUUCAGCUAUUGUUGGGGAGUUUGGGUCAGAGUGUUCUUGAUCAGAAGACUCAUGAUCAGAGGACUCUUGGUUAGAAGAAGGGGA
rnacentral:lncRNA from 1 species